CCUAGGAGGGGGAAAAGGGUCUCCUGGCCCUGAAACUUCUUUCUCACAAAGAAAGCUACUUCUGCACUGUUUUCAUUUUCAGUGGAGAAUUGAUCCUGGCUUCCAGUUCCCAGUCCUUUUCAUGCCUUCACUGAAACUCUAUCCCUUCAAGAAUGCAGAGCCUAUUUUUGAUGAAGCCUUCUGGAGUUCUGUCUCUCCCCAGCUACAGAAGUAUUCUGAGGAGUAUCACAAGAUAUCAGAAGUCAGAUCACAAGAUAACCUAUGGAUAUAUUUAGAAGAGUGCAACUGGAAAAAUCUACCAUCCCUGAAAAAACAUUUUUGAAAUGUAAUUAUAUUUUUGUCUAUUUGUCAAAAAGUAAAAUAAAAGCAUGCAGAGAAGUAAGCUAGGCUAAGAUCUAUGCAUACUGUAAGCUCCAAGAUCACUUUAAUGAAAGCCACAGACUCAGUAUGACUCUUCUUAUAUCUGCAGAUCGUAAAUGUUAAAGGUGAGGCAGAAAGUUAUGGAGGCUAAUGGAGAAUACUAUGACUAAAUACCUGAAUGAAGCUCUGGGUGAUCUCAGCUUUUAGAACUGAGUGUGAUACAACAUACCUUCAAGGAAAUAUGACAGUAUGGUAGCUUUGAUUGUCCAAGACAAAGAUACAAUUUGCACAUAGAGGCAGCUUUUUGCAGUGGUUUUGUGCCUUUGUGCAGUGGUUUGCAUUGUGAUAUUCAUGUUCAGGCAUUCUGUAUGAGUAUGCACAUCUGCACACUAAAACAUGCCUAACAGAUAUUAUGUCUCAUUUGUACCGAGGACCUUCUUCAACCUUUCACUUCUGACACAUGUAAGGGCAUUUAUACACAUAUAAUGUUCUAAUUAAGCUGUCAGAAAGCAUAAAGGUUUCAACAUGCACACAGGAUGUGUGCACAUGUCCACAUUUAUUGCAGCAGUGUAAAUGUGGAGUAUUGCUGCCUGGAAUAAAUGAAAGGUACUCGUGUAACAUUUGUGUUGUGGAGACAAGUAUCAAACCUACAGAAUAACUGUGCUACACAUGCAACAAGUGUUUUGACUACUGAA